GACGAACGCUGGCGGCGUGCUUAACACAUGCAAGUCGAACGGUGAACCGGCUUCGGCCGGGGAUCAGUGGCGAACGGGUGAGUAACACGUGGGCAACCUGCCCCAGACUCUGGGAUAACCCCGGGAAACCGGGGCUAAUACCGGAUACGACCGCUUCGGGCAUCCGUUGUGGUGGAAAGAUUUCUCGGUCUGGGAUGGGCCCGCGGCCUAUCAGCUUGUUGGUGGGGUAAUGGCCUACCAAGGCGACGACGGGUAGCCGGCCUGAGAGGGCGACCGGCCACACUGGGACUGAGACACGGCCCAGACUCCUACGGGAGGCAGCAGUGGGGAAUAUUGCGCAAUGGGCGAAAGCCUGACGCAGCGACGCCGCGUGAGGGAUGAAGGCCUUCGGGUUGUAAACCUCUUUCAGCAGGGACGAAGCGAAAGUGACUGUACCUGCAGAAGAAGCACCGGCUAACUACGUGCCAGCAGCCGCAGUAACAC
rnacentral:rRNA from 1 species